rnacentral:rRNA from 1 species
UCAGAUUGAACGCUGGCGGCAUGCCUUACACAUGCAAGUCGAACGGCAGCACGGGGGCAACCCUGGUGGCGAGUGGCGAACGGGUGAGUAAUACAUCGGAACGUGUCCUGGAGUGGGGGAUAGCCCGGCGAAAGCCGGAUUAAUACCGCAUACGCUCGGGAGAGGAAAGCGGGGGACCUUCGGGCCUCGCGCUCAAGGGGCGGCCGAUGGCGGAUUAGCUAGUUGGUGGGGUAAAGGCCUACCAAGGCGACGAUCCGUAGCUGGUCUGAGAGGACGACCAGCCACACUGGGACUGAGACACGGCCCAGACUCCUACGGGAGGCAGCAGUGGGGAAUUUUGGACAAUGGGGGCAACCCUGAUCCAGCAAUGCCGCGUGUGUGAAGAAGGCCUUCGGGUUGUAAAGCACUUUUGUCCGGAAAGAAAACCUUUGCCCUAAUACGGUGGAGGGAUGACGUACCG